rnacentral:rRNA from 1 species
GCAAUGUGGUGUUUAGGUCGUUCCGCAGACGCACUGCUCCACCCUAAGUCCAAUAAUGAGUACGGUGGUACGGACAUGGCCCAUAGAGGGUGAAAGGCCCGUGGGGGUGGAGAUCAGGCUGGCCAGUGCUACUCUGGGAGGACCUUGGAGUCGGGUUGUUUGUGAAUGCAGCCCAAAGUGGGUGGUAAACUCCAUCCAAGGCUAAAUACUAGCACGAGUCCGAUAGAGAACAAGUACCGUGAGGGAAAGUUGAAAAGUACUCUGAAGAGAGAGUAAACAGUGCGUGAAGCCGCUCAGAGGUAAACGGGUGGAGUUGAACUGUGAGUUCCGAGGGUUCAGCUGGUGACUAUGAUUGGGCUUGGCUAAAUUGGUCGGGCUCUGGGGUCUGUUUAGCUACAGGUCUCUGCCUUCGGGUGGGGAUGCGCGAUACACUCGUUGAGUGUUGCGCGCCUCAGAGUUCUCGGGUCUGGUCGCCAGUGCACUCCCUCGGGACGGUCACCACGACCGGCAUGUCGUCUGUCUGUUGCGGUUAAACCGGCCGUGCAUUGUCCUUGUGGCUUUGUGCGGUCGGGAUGGCAGGUAGCUCGUUGGUUUGUUCGCAGACUUUCGGGUGUAAUCAGCUGACUGCGAUUUGACUGUGCGGUGUGUCGGGGACGGCGGCUUGAGGUGUGUGCGUGCGUACUAGUCUGCUGGCGUGUCCGUGUUAGGUUGCUCAGUUGCUCACGUAGUGGGCCAAGCGGCGACUGGGACGCGUGCGGUGGGCGGUUGCGUGCGUGGCAUUAUUCUUGGGCCAAUAGUCUGUGGUGUUGCGGUAGACGAUCCACCCGACCCGUCUUGAAACACGGACCAAGGAGAGUAACAUGUGCGCGAGUCAUUGGGCGUAACGAAACCCAAAGGCGCAGUGAAAGUAAAGGCUUGGCUUGUCCAGGCUAAGGUGAGAUCCUGUCGUUUCUUACGCGUGGUACCACCAAGCAUCGAGCGGCAGGCGCAUCACCGGCCCGUCCCAUGGCAUUGGCAGUCGAAUAUACAGUACAGUCGGGGCGGAGCAAGAGCGUACAUGUUGAGACCCGAAAGAUGGUGAACUAUGCUUGUGCAGAUUGAAGCCAGAGGAAACUCUGGUGGAGGAUCGCAGCGAUUCUGACGUGCAAAUCGAUCGUCAGACAUGAGUAUAGGGGCG